rnacentral:rRNA from 1 species
ACGGGUGAGUAACGCGUGGGAAUCUACCCAUCUCUACGGAAUAACGCAUGGAAACGUGUGCUAAUACCGUAUACGUCCUUCGGGAGAAAGAUUUAUCGGAGAUGGAUGAGCCCGCGUUGGAUUAGCUAGUUGGUGGGGUAAAGGCCUACCAAGGCGACGAUCCAUAGCUGGUCUGAGAGGAUGAUCAGCCACACUGGGACUGAGACACGGCCCAGACUCCUACGGGAGGCAGCAGUGGGGAAUAUUGGACAACGGGCGCAAGCCUGAUCCAGCCAUGCCGCGUGAGUGAUGAAGGCCCUAGGGUUGUAAAGCUCUUUCACCGGUGAAGAUAAUGACGGUAACCGGAGAAGAAGCCCCGGCUAACUUCGUGCCAGCAGCCGCGGUAAUACGAAGGGGGCUAGCGUUGUUCGGAUUUACUGGGCGUAAAGCGCACGUAGGCGGACUAUUAAGUCAGGGGUGAAAUCCCGGGGCUCAACCCCGGAACUGCCUUUGAUACUGGUAGUCUUGAGUUCGAGAGAGGUGAGUGGAAUUCCGAGUGUAGAGGUGAAAUUCGUAGA